UACGUAGGGGGCGAGCGUUGUCCGAAGUUACUGGGCGUAAAGCGCGCGUAGGCGGGUUUUUAAGGCUGGUGUGAAAGGUUCAGGGCUCAACCCGAACAGGGCACUGGCGACUGGGAGCCUGGAGUGGGGGAGAGGGAGGCGGAAUUCCGGGUGUAGCGGUGAAAUGCGUAGAUAUCCGGAGGAACACCGAUGGCGAAGGCAGCCUCCUGGCCUCUGACUGACGCUGAGGCGCGAAAGCGUGGGGAGCAAACGGG
rnacentral:rRNA from 1 species